UGAUUUACGCGCAGCCACAAGAAGGACAG
rnacentral:sRNA from 1 species